UGAACGCUAGCGAGAUGCUUUACACAUGCAAGUCGUACGGGAGUUUUUAACUCUAGUGGCGGACGGGUGAGUAACACGUAAGAAUUUGCCUUUAGGAGGGGGAUAACAUCGUCAGAAAUGAUUCGAGAAAUUGAUGCUAAUACCCCAUAUGCUUUCGAGUGAAAUGGAGUUUUCCGCCUAAAGAGAAGCUUGCGGCUGAUUAGCUUGUUGGUGAGGUAAUGGCUUACCAAGGCGACGAUCAGUAUCUGGUUUGAGAGGAUGAUCAGACACACUGGAACUGAGACACGGUCCAGACUCCUACGGGAGGCAGCAGUGGGGAAUUUUCCGCAAUGGGCGAAAGCCUGACGGAGCAAUCUCGCGUGAGGGAUGACUGCCUAUGGGUUGUAAACCUCUUUUUUCAGGGAGGAAUAAAUGACGUUACCUGAAGAAUAAGCAUCG
rnacentral:rRNA from 1 species